UGAAAAAUAUUACAUCCACAGCACUGAACAAAAACAGUACCAUCAGUGUAAGCGUGCGGAUUGAUAGCGCGAGUGGUCCUUUGACCGCAAACAUUGCAGGUGAAGGCGACGCGCAUUCUCCUACGUGGCGAUUUGGUGAAGAGGGACCAUGGUAAGGUCGAAUCCUUCUCCGUAUCGGAUCCUUCAUCGGCUCCUGCAGGCAUCGGGGGCCCUUCCAUGCCGGAACCAGUAGUCCAGCCUCUUACAGAAGCAGCACUUAGAACCAAUCCCAUGACCGCGUCCUUGGAAAGAGUAGGGUUGUUGAAGAAGGGGACGAUGCUAGAAUCGUUGGAUUCAGAUCAGAGAUCAAAAUCGUUUUCAUUCUCUGAAUCGCAGGAAUAAUUCUGUUAACGAAAAUGAAGAUAAAGGAGAGAAAUUAGAGGCAAAAGAAAAGAAGGAAGGGAAGCAACAUACUCUUGGAAGAAGUUUGGAAUCGGAGGAUU
rnacentral:misc_RNA from 1 species